CCUUUGUACACACCGCCCGUCGCUACUACCGAUUGAAUGGCUUAGUGAGGCCCUCGGAUCGAGUUCGGAGACUGGAAACAGACUCUGUUUUUGAGAAGUUGGUCAAACUUGGUCAUUUAGAGG
rnacentral:rRNA from 1 species